UACAGAGGUCUCAAGCGUUGUUCGGAUUCAUUGGGCGUAAAGGGUGCGUAGGCGGCGCGGUAAGUCGGAUGUGAAAUCUCGGAGCUUAACUUCGAAACUGCAUUCGAUACUGCCGGGCUAGAGUUCGGAAGAGGCGAGUGGAAUUCCCGGUGUAGCGGUGAAAUGCGCAGAUAUCGGGAGGAACGACCGGUGGCGAAGGCGGUUCUCUGGGCCUG
rnacentral:rRNA from 1 species